UGCCCUGGCAGUCAGAGGCGAUGAAGGGCGUGCUAAUCUGCGAUAAGCGCCGGUAAGGUGAUAUGAACCGUUAUAACCGGCGAUACCCGAAUGGGGAAACCCAGUGUGAUUCGUCACACUAUCAUUAACUGAAUCCAUAGGUUAAUGAGGCGAACCGGGGGAACUGAAACAUCUAAGUACCCCGAGGAAAAGAAAUCAACCGAGAUUCCCCCAGUAGCGGCGAGCGAACGGGGAGGAGCCCAGAGCCUGAAUCAGCAUGUGUGUUAGUGGAAGCGUCUGGAAAGGCGCGCGAUACAGGGUGACAGCCCCGUACACAAAAGCGCAUGUGCUGUGAGCUCGAUGAGUAGGGCGGGACACGUGGUAUCCUGUCUGAAUAUGGGGGGACCAUCCUCCAAGGCUAAAUACUCCUGACUGACCGAUAGUGAACCAGUACCGUGAGGGAAAGGCGAAAAGAACCCCGGCGAGGGGAGUGAAAAAGAACCUGAAACCGU
rnacentral:rRNA from 3 species